AUGUUGGAUUAUGCUGAUAAGGCUCUUAAGGAACAAUAUCAAGCUGAUUUAAGGAAGAUUCUAAGGGAGGAAGAAGCUAAAUGGAGGCAAACAUCCCAUGAGAUUGAGUUACAUGAUGGAUACUUGAACACAAGAUACUAUCAUGCUAAAGCAAAUGGUAGACAUAGAAGAAAUAUAAUUGUUAGGUUAGUUCAAGAGGAAGGGGUGAUUGAAGGACAGGAAAAUCAUAAGACUUGUAUCACUGAAUUUUAUGAAAAUUUGUUUGGGGAACUUGAGGUUGUCAUUGAGAAUGGAUGGUGA
rnacentral:rRNA from 1 species